rnacentral:lncRNA from 10 species
CGCCAUUCCAUGAUCAUUGGGUUAUCGUCUGCAUUCCUGACGUAGUGUUUACAGCUUCCUGCUUAUGGCAACAAGGAAGCAGAACGCAGAGUGAUGAGAGAUUUAUGUGGAUAUGAUAGCACUGGACACUUCGAGGCUCCAUUGGCAAAACAUGCGGCAAAUAGGAAACCAAGGGACCUUUGACAUUUAAGAAGUAUAUGCCCUAAGAUUUCUACAGAUCCUGAAAUUCAUCACUACGGCAGAAUCACGCAUCUUAUGAAAACCAAGAAUAAAAUGACACCUGACAACCUUGCCAGCUCAGCACAUCUGGAGGCACUAAAUGUCUGACCCAGGAAAUGUGCAUCAAACUGACGGUCUAGUCAUCCCAGCAAGAGUGAAGUGGCCUCUCCUGUGGUUUUGAUUUGCAUUUCUCUAAUGACUAUGUUGAACAUCUUUUCAUGUCCUUGUUAGCCAUUUGUAUAUCCUCUUUGGAGAAAUGUCUGUUAAAGUAUUCUGCUCAUUUUUUCCCUUCAGUUGUUUGUCUUUUUGUUAUUGAGUUGUCAGAGUUCUUUAUAUAAUCUGGAUAGUAGACAUUUUUUGGAUAUAUGAUUUGAAAAUAUUUUCUGUCAUUCUAUAGGUAGUCUUUUCACUCCCUUGAUGCAUGAAAGUUUUAAUUUGAUAAAGUACAAUUGAUGUACAAAAGUUUUAAUUUGAUAAAGUACAAUUAAUUUUUUAUUUCGUUGCUUCUACUUUUUGUGUCAUAUCUAAGAAACAAUUGCUGAAUACAAGGUUAUGAAUAUUUCCCCCUAAGUUUUUUUCUAAGACUUUUAUAGUUUUAGCUUUUAUAUUUAUGUCUCAUAUCCAUUUUGAGGUAAGGGCUCAACUUUAUUUUUUUGCAUAUGGAUACCCCGUUGUCUCAGCAUCAUUUGUGGAAGACACUAUUCUUUCGCCAUUGAAUGCUUUUGGAACACUGGUCAAAAGUUAAACAUGAAUUGGCCAAAGAUAAAUGGGCUGAUUUCUAGAUUCUCAAUUCUAUUCCAUUGAUCUGUAUGUCUAGCCUUAUAUCAUUAUCACACUUUUCAUUGCUAAAGGCUUUGUUGUAAGUUUUGAAAAAGCAAAGUGGGAGUUCACCAACUCUGUUCAAGAUGAUUUUGGUUUUGGAGGGUUUCUUAAAAUUCCAUAAAAAUUUUAAGACCAGCUUUUCUAUACCUGCAGAAAAGCCCAUUGAAAUUGUGAUUGUUAUUGCAUUAAAUCUAUAGAUUGAUUCAAGUAUUGUCCUCUUAAAAAUACUAAGUCUUUCAAUCUAUCAACAUAAAAUGCUUUUUCCAUCACUUUCAUUUUUGUUACAUCAAAGAAGUUUAUUUUCAAAAUAUUUCAAGAACUGAUAGUAUUAUUUCUUACACAGGACAGUGUUAGAUAUUUUGGUUUUUUAUAUUUUAUUAGCAUGUAAGUAUAUAAUAAAUACAUAAAACAUAAUAAAAUUUCUACCGAG